GGCGGUGUAGCUCAGUCGGUAGAGCAGCGGAAUCAUAAUCCGUAGGUCGGGGGUUCAAGUCCCUCCGCCGCUA
rnacentral:tRNA from 2 species